rnacentral:rRNA from 1 species
UACGUAGGGCGCAAGCGUUAUCCGGAAUUAUUGGGCGUAAAGAGCUCGUAGGCGGCUUGGCAAGUCGGGUGUGAAACCUCCAGGCUCAACCUGGAGACGCCACUCGAUACUGCUAUGGCUAGAGUCCGGUAGGGGACCACGGAAUUCCUGGUGUAGCGGUGAAAUGCGCAGAUAUCAGGAGGAACACCGGUGGCGAAGGCGGUGGUCUGGGCCGGCACUGACGCUGAGGAGCGAAAGCGUGGGUAGCAAACAGG